GUGUCAGCAGCCGCGGUAAUACGUAGGGUGCGAGCGUUAAUCGGAAUUACUGGGCGUAAAGCGUGCGCAGGCGGUUCGAUAAGUCUGAUGUGAAAUCCCCGGGCUCAACCUGGGAACUGCGUUGGAAACUGUCGAGCUAGAGUGUAGAAGAGGGGGGUAGAAUUCCACGUGUAGCAGUGAAAUGCGUAGAGAUGUGGAGGAAUACCGAUGGCGAAGGCAGCCCCCUGGGCUAACACUGACGCUCAUGCACGAAAGCGUGGGGAGCAAACAGGAUUAGAUACCCUGGUAGUCC
rnacentral:rRNA from 1 species